AAGUCGUAACAAGGUUUCCGUAGGUGAACCUGCGGAAGGAUCAUUAACACGUACGAAAGUACAACUACCAACUCUGUGAACUGUGUUGUCUCCCCGGGAUACUUGACCGUAAAAAGUUAUGACGAAGGCUGAAAGCAUUGGAAAUGGGCGGUCUAUUGGGGUAAAACCCUUUAGGCUGUAGCAUUAGUCAUAAAUCUGCUGGACCGAUCUGGGUUCACUGACCGGGUAAAACUGGAUGGUGAAUGUCCUCGCGUCGGCCAAUGGUCUCUUCCGGAUAUGAGAAAUUUACCAUAUGCCAAUAACUUGAUUAACAAUAUGAAUGCAUUUGACUAAUGUUUGUAGCUCAUAUGAAAAUAUGGGUGACUAGAUUUAAUUCUAACUAAGCACAACUCUUAGCAAUGGAUAUCUAGGUUCUC
rnacentral:misc_RNA from 1 species